rnacentral:tRNA from 1 species
GGAGAGGUGUCCGAGCGGCUGAAGGAGCACGGCUGGAAUCCGUGUAGUCGGGGUAACCCGGCUCGGGGGUUCGAAUCCCCCCCUCUCCG